rnacentral:rRNA from 1 species
GACGAACGCUGGCGGCGUGCUUAACACAUGCAAGUCGAACGGAAAGGCCUGCUUUCCCUUGUGGAUUGCGGGUACUCGAGUGGCGAACGGGUGAGUAACACGUGAGUGAUCUGCCCCCAACUUGGGUAUAAGCCUGGGAAACUGGGUCUAAUUCCCGAUAGGACUGCAGGGUGGUGCCUGUGGUGGAAAACGAUUUUCUAGUGGUUGGGGAUGAGCUCGCGGCCUAUCAGCUUGUUGGUGGGGUAAUGGCCUACCAAGGCGGCGACGGGUAGCCGGCCUGGGAGGGUGGACGGUCACAUUGGGACUGGGAUACGGCCCAGACUCCUACGGGAGGCAGCAGUGGGGAAUAUUGCACAAUGGGCGGAAGCCUGAUGCAGCGACGCAGUGUGGGGGAUGACGGCAUUCGGGUUGUAAACUCCUUUCGACCGCGAGGAAGCCACCUGGUUGGAAGGGUGGUGACGGUAGUGGUAGAAGAAGCACCGGCUAACUACGUG